CCUACGGGAGGCUGCAGUGAGGAAUAUUGGUCAAUGGACGGAAGUCUGAACCAGCCAUGCCGCGUGCAGGAAGAAGGCUCUAUGAGUUGUAAACUGCUUUUGUACAAGGGUAAACCUGAAUACGUGUAUUCAGCUGAAAGUACUGUACGAAUAAGGAUCCGCUAACUCCGUUCCAGCAGCCGCGGUAAUACGGAGGAUCCAAUCGUUAUCCGGAUUUAUUGGGUUUAAAGGGUGCGUAGGCGGAGUGAUAAGUUAGAGGUGAAAUGUCCGAGCUUAACUCGGGAACUGCCUCUAAUACUGUUGAGCUAGAGAGUAGAUGCGGUAGGCGGAAUGUAUGGUGUAGCGGUGAAAUGCGUAGAGAUCAUACAGAACACCGAGUGCGAAGGCAGCUUACCAAUCUAUAUCUGACGUUGAGGCACGAAAGCGUGGGGAGCAAACAGGAUUAGAUACCCUAGUAGUC
rnacentral:rRNA from 1 species